UACGGGGGGGGCAAGCGUUGUUCGGAAUUACUGGGCGUAAAGGGCUCGUAGGCGGCCAACUAAGUCACACGUGAAAUCCCUCGGCUCAACCGGGGAACUGCGUGUGAUACUGGCGGGCUUGAAUUCGGGAGAGGGAUGCGGAAUUCCAGGUGUAGCGGUGAAAUGUGUAGAGAUCGGGAGGAACACCGGUGGCGAAGGCGGGUCUCUGGGCAAUUCCUGACGCUGAGGCGCGAAAGCGUGGGGAGCAAACGGG
rnacentral:rRNA from 1 species